rnacentral:misc_RNA from 1 species
UUGUGGAGGAGGACGCCGAAGGUGGGGCUGAUGACUGGGGUGAAGUCGUAACAAGGUAGCCGUACCGGAAGGUGCGGCUGGAUCACCUCCUAACAGGGAGACAAACAAUUGAUCGUGAUGUCUGAGUUUUUAGUACUUAGGCCAUGAUCCUGUCACCUUAGGUCGAUCGGUACCUCAUUUAGAUUCAAAAUAAAUUUUAUUUUGGUUUUGAAUCAGUUCCUAAACUUGUCUAGGUCACACCCAACAAGGGUACUCCUGGGCCAUUAGCUCAGGUGGUUAGAGCGCAUCCCUGAUAAGGGUGAGGUCCCUGGUUCAAGUCCAGGAUGACCCAUUCGUGUUGGGGGUAUAGCUCAGUUGGUAGAGCGCCUGCUUUGCAAGCAGGAUGUCAGCGGUUCGAGUCCGCUUACCUCCACUGAUCAACCUCCUGACAGCGAAGUUUAAGGAGUUUUUAAAGUGAUCUAGAAUUUGUUCUCUUUGAAUGAACCUAGCUUCUUAUCAUUCUGGCUAAUUUUAUUGCUGGGUUGAUAUGACGCUGGGCUCACUGCAAUUAAAAAUUGCAGGAAAGUUCAGUAGAACCUUGACAACUGCAUAGGUGAGUUUGGAAAAGAAUAAAGCAUCUCAUGGAUGCAUUAUUUCGGAACUAUUCUUUUGCUUUUAAAAGGAAGCAUUAGGCUUGGUUUUGAAUUUAAUGUGUAAUUCUUGAGCAAGAGCCGAGACUCUAUAGAGUUCUUUUAUCUCAAUUGAAAGGGGUGAGAGUUUGAUCUUUAAUUUCUUGCAUUUAUUAAAUUAUUUGCGAUUGAAUUGAAGAGAAAAGUGUUAACAACACAAGGCUCUAUAGAGGUAUUAAAUGGUCAAGCUACAA